rnacentral:rRNA from 1 species
CACAAAAUCACAAAUAGUGCUUAUUGUGAUAACGUAAGGGAAAAAAUUGAUAUUACCUUACUAUGAGUGUUGUCUAAAUAACUGGUGCCAGAAGACUCGGUAACACCAGAAACGCGAACGUUAGUCGUCUUAAACAGGCGUAAAGGGUAAGUAGGCUGCUUUAAAUAUCUAAAUUAAUCUAAGCUAAUUAAUAAUUUUCUAUUAGUUGCUUCCUAAGCAACAAAAAAUUUCAAAUUAAAUAUAUAAAUUAUAAAUAACACACUUAAAAUUGAAAUUACUUGUUUUGCUAAUAGAAGCUAGUUACUUAUAACAGCUAAUAUUAUAAUUAUUCUUUUCUAUUAAAUUAGAAUCACUUAAAGCUAGAAUCAUAAUUGAGAUAAACCAAAUAAUACUUAAGUGUAAGGGCGAUAUCUGAAAAUACUAAGUAGAAUACUAACGGUGAAAACUUUUUAUCUAGGAAUGAUUGACGCUGAGGUACGAAAGUGAGAACAGGGAAUAGGAUGUGCGACUUGAAAGCUUAAAUAAUAUAUAGUAUUCUAAGAAUACAUUAUCUUUCGUCUGAUAAUAGCCAACCUAAACAUGCAUAAUUAGUAAUGAUUUUGUGUGAAGCUUUAGGGUAAAAUUAAUUAAGGUUAUCCACCUGUGUUAUAUUAAUAUAUAACAUUUAAUGAAGGCUGAUUUCUAUGGUUAGGGAAACCGAACUUAUGUAAAUAAAGCUUAUUAAUAAGACCAAUAAUCGUCCUAGUUAUUGGUAGACGAACAUAUUUAUUAAUAUAGCAAAGUAAGAACCUAAGGAAAUCUAACGUAUAUAUUUAGGAACAAGGUAAUGCCUAUAACUUGCUUUUAUUUAGCUAGAAAUACAAAACUACUAAAAUAUAAAAGCUAGCUUUUUUGUAAAAAGAAGUAUAUGGUUAGAGG